GACGAACGCUGGCGGCGUGCUUAAUACAUGCAAGUCGAACGGGGCCUAGCGAGUGGUUUUACUACUUGCGAAAGCUUAGUGGCGGACGGGUGAGUAACGCGUGGGUAAUCUGCCCCUAAGUCUGGGAUAACAGAGCGAAAGUUCUGCUAACACCGGAUAUACUUUCUUUAUCGCAUGGUGAAGGAAGGAAAGGUUACGCUUAGGGAUGAGCCCGCGUCCCAUUAGCUAGUUGGUGAGGUAACAGCUCACCAAGGCGACGAUGGGUAGCCGGCCUGAGAGGGUGGACGGCCACACUGGGACUGAGACACGGCCCAGACUCCUACGGGAGGCAGCAGUAGGGAAUUUUCCGCAAUGGGCGAAAGCCUGACGGAGCAACGCCGCGUGAGGGAAGAAGGUCUUCGGAUCGUAAACCUUUGUCAUCGAGGACGAUAAUGACGGUACUCGAGGAGGAAGCCCCGGCUAACUACGUGCCAGCAGCCGCGGUAACACGUAGGGGGCGAGCGUUGUCCGGAAUUACUGGCGUAAAGGGCGCGUAGGCGGCCUAAUAAGUCA
rnacentral:rRNA from 1 species